rnacentral:rRNA from 1 species
GACGAACGCUGGCGGCGUGCUUAACACAUGCAAGUCGAACGGAAAGGCCCUGCUUUUGUGGGGUGCUCGAGUGGCGAACGGGUGAGUAACACGUGAGUAACCUGCCCUUGACUUUGGGAUAACUUCAGGAAACUGGGGCUAAUACCGGAUAGGAGCUCCUGCUGCAUGGUGGGGGUUGGAAAGUUUCGGCGGUUGGGGAUGGACUCGCGGCUUAUCAGCUUGUUGGUGGGGUAGUGGCUUACCAAGGCUUUGACGGGUAGCCGGCCUGAGAGGGUGACCGGCCACAAUGGGACUGAGAUACGGCCCAGACUCCUACGGGAGGCAGAAGGGGGGAAUAUUGCACAAUGGGCGGAAGCCUGAUGCAGCAACGCCGCGUGCGGGAUGACGGCCUUCGGGUUGUAAACCGCUUUCGCCUGUGACGAAGCGUGAGUGACGGUAAUGGGUAAAGAAGCACCGGCUAACUACGUG